AUUAUGUAACAUGCCUCAGGCAAUGGAAGAAACCUAGGCUGAAAUAACCAACACUCCUUGCCAAACACUUUAGAAAGAUUAUGUUUCUUCUCCAUUAAAGAAGUAGAACAUAUGGUUCAGGAACUUACCCUAAAGGCAAAUUACAGAGGUUAAGCACGUGAUUCAGCGGCCAAAAUUGUGAGUUCAAAUGCCAACAUAUUUACUUACUAACUUCAUGACCUCUCAAAGUUGCUUCAAUGUUCUGUGACUUUGUUUCCUUAACUAUCAAACAAUGCAUACCUCAAUGUCUGCUUAAAAUUUCCAUUGGCAUAACACAUAUAAAGCUCUUAGAAGACUGCCUGGAACAGUUUGCAGCAAGAUCCUCCUAGGAAAGUAAACCAGAGAAAAUGAGGGUAGAAAUU